rnacentral:misc_RNA from 1 species
AGGGACUACUGGGGUUUCUAAUUCAGUUCGCUCCCCACGCUUUCGCGCCUCAGCGUCAGGGCCAGCCCAGAAGGCCGCCUUCGCCGCCGGUGUUCCUCCGGAUCUCUACGCAUUUCACCACUACACCCGGAAUUCCACCUUCCUCUACUGUCCUCAGAGUCGGACGGUUUUGGUUGACCUAUGCGGGUUAAGCCCGCACCUUUCACAACCAACCUACCCAACCGCCUACGCGCUCUUUACGCCCAGUAAAUCCGGACAACGCUCGCCCCCUACGUAUUACCGCGGCUGCUGGCAC